rnacentral:rRNA from 1 species
AUUGAACGCUGGCGGCAGGCCUAACACAUGCAAGUCGAGCGAGUGGCGGACGUGUGAGUAAUGUCUGGGACACUGCCUGAUGGAGGGGGAUAACUAAUGGAAACGGUAGCUAAUACCGCAUACCUUCGGAUGUGCCGCGGUGGGACUAGCUAGUGGGUGGGGUAACGGCUCACCUAGGCGACGAUCCCUAGCUGGUCUGAGAGGAUGACCAGCCACACUGGAACUGAUACACGGUCCAGACUCCUACGGGAGGCAGCAGUGGGGAAUAUUGCACAAUGGGCGAAAGCCUGAUGCAGCCAUGCCGCGUGGGUGAAGAAGGUCUUCGGAUUGUAAAGCACUGUCAGUAGGGAAGCGUUACCCACAGAGAAAGCAACGGCUAACUACGUGCCAGCCGCCGCGGUAAUUC